rnacentral:rRNA from 1 species
AGCAUAUCAAUAAGCGGAGGAAAAGAAACCAACAGGGAUUGCCUCAGUAACGGCGAGUGAAGCGGCAACAGCUCAAAUUUGAAAUCUGGCCGCAAGGUCCGAGUUGUAAUUUGCAGAGGAUGCUUUUGGCGAGGUGCCUUCCGAGUUCCCUGGAACGGGACGCCAUAGAGGGUGAGAGCCCCGUACGGUAGUGUCACCGAGCCUAUGUAAAGCUCCUUCGACGAGUCGAGUAGUUUGGGAAUGCUGCUCUAAAUGGGAGGUGUACGUCUUCUAAAGCUAAAUACCGGCCAGAGACCGAUAGCGCACAAGUAGAGUGAUCGAAAGAUGAAAAGCACUUUGAAAAGAGGGUUAAAAAGUACGUGAAAUUGUUGAAAGGGAAGCAUUCAUGACCAGACUUGGGCUUGGUUGAACAUCCGGCGUUCUCGCCGGUGCACUCUGCCAGUCCAGGCCAGCAUCAGUUUGCCCCGGGGGACAAAGGUAGCGGGAAUGUGGCUCCCCACGGGGAGUGUUAUAGCCCGUUGCGUAAUGCCCUGGGGCGGACUGAGGAACGCGCUUCGGCACGGAUGCUGGCGUAAUGGUCAUCAAUGACCCGUCUUGAAACACGGACCAAGGAGUCGUCUUCGUAUGCGAGUGUUCGGGUGUCAAACCCCUACGCGUAAUGAAAGUGAACGUAGGUGAGAGCUUCGGCGCAUCACCGACCGAUCCUGAUGUUCUCGGAUGGAUUUGAGUAAGAGCAUACGGGGCCGGACCCGAAAGAAGGUGAACUAUGCCUGUGUAGGGUGAAGCCAGAGGAAACUCUGGUGGAGGCUCGCAGCGGUUCUGACGUGCAAAUCGAUCGUCAAACAUGGGCAUGGGGGCGAAAGACUAAUCGAACCUUCUAGUAGCUGGUUUCCGCCGA